ensembl:lncRNA
GGGCUGGUGGUGUUCCUGGUCUCAGUGGUGGGGUUGGUUUAGGAGGUAUACCAGGUGCAUUUGGUGUUCCAAGUAUGAGUGGCAUACCUGGUGCAGGUGGUGUGCCAGGCAUAAAUGGCAUACCUGGAGCAGGAGGUGUGCCAGGAAUAGGAGCUGUUCCAGGUACAGCUGUAAUACCAGGUGUUGGAGUAAUUCCUGGAGCUGGCGGUGCAACUCCUGGUGUCCUUUAUCCAGGAGCUGGUGGUACCUAUCCUGGGGGAACUGGGGCAAAAGCUCAAAAGUAUGUUUCAGGGAUAGGAACUGGUGGACUUCCUGGUUCUGGAGUGGGUGGUCUUGGAACUGGUGGACUUCCUGGUUCUGGUUUGGGAGUGGGUGGUCUUGGAACUGCAGGACUUCCUGGUUCUGGUUUGGGAAUUGGUGGCCUUGGCACUGGUGGAAUCCCUGGACUUGGUCCUGAAGGUAUCCAGAAAAAUUUAUUUGAAAAUUACCUUGUAUUGUUGUUGAAAGUUAUUAUCAUUAACAGCACGAUUAUCUACUUUUCUGCCAUAUUUUAG